GCCGGGCAUGGUGGCACGUGCCUGUAAUCCCAGCUACUCCUCGGGGGGCUGAGGCAGGAGGAUCACUUGAACCCGGGAGUUGGAGGUUGCAGUGAGCCAAGAUGGCGCCACUGCACUCCAGCCUGGGUGACAGAGUGAGACUCUGUCUCAA
rnacentral:SRP_RNA from 1 species